AGUGAACGCUGGCGGUAGGCCUAACACAUGCAAGUCGAACGGCAGCACAGGAGAGCUUGCUCUCUGGGUGGCGAGUGGCGGACGGGUGAGGAAUACAUCGGAAUCUACCCUGUCGUGGGGGAUAACGUAGGGAAACUUACGCUAAUACCGCAUACGACCUACGGGUGAAAGCAGGGGACCUUCGGGCCUUGCGCGAUUGAAUGAGCCGGUGUCGGAUUAGCUGGUUGGCGGGGUAAAGGCCCACCAAGGCGACGAUCCGUAGCUGUUCUGAGAGGAUGAUCAGCCACCCUGGAACUGAGACACGGUCCAGACUCCUACGGGAGGCAGCAGUGGGGAAUAUUGGACAAUGGGCGCAAGCCUGAUCCAGCCAUACCGCGUGGGUGAAGAAGGCCUUCGAGUUGUAAAGCCCUUUUGUUGGGAAAGAAAUCCAGCUGGCUAAUACCCGGUUGGGAUGACGGUACCCAAAGAAUAAGCACCGGCUAACUUCGUGCCAGCAGCCGCCGUAA
rnacentral:rRNA from 1 species